rnacentral:rRNA from 1 species
GAAUUUUAUAUAUUGUAAGUUAAUAAUAGAGUUUUAUAUAUAAUUUAGAGUAUAUUUAGUUGGGGGGAUUGUUAAAUUAAAUAAACUUAAAUUAGAAUAUAGAUAUAGAUUAAUAGAGUAAAAAAGAAUGAUUAAUAAGUUAAAUAAGAAUUAAUUACCUUAGGGAUAACAGCGUAAUAUUAUUGGAGAGAUCUUAUUGAUAAUAGUGAUUGC